CCAGAAACUCUUAUUCCUAGUCUGUGUCUAACAAACUCAGGGAAAUCAUAAAACAACUUAUAACAACGUAUUCAAUAGAAACCUAUUCUCCCUAGCCCAUACCUUUUAUAGACUUAGGUCAAAUAUAAUUGUGUAUUAUACUCUUUCAAUUCAAUUCCUCUUGGAUCUCUGAACUCUUAUAUCCAAGGCAUUCUUAAUGUAUACCAUUACUUAAUAUUAAUCAAUAUAAAUUAUCCUUCCUUAGUUUUCUUCCUUAUGUUACCAUUGUUUGUUUUACUUCACCUCGAUAUAAACAAAUUACUCAUUCUUGUGAAUCUAUGAAAUACUAUUGCACUAAUCUUUGUAGUAUUAAGUGACCAUGAUCCUUAUUUUAUCAACUUCAUAUUUUAUCUACCUCUGAUACUUCUCAUUCUAUGUAUAGGUAAUAAUAUAAUAGUUCUUUUCAUAAUACUAUCCUUUCGUAAUUGUACUCCAUGUGUUAUAUAGCUAUAAGUAGUCUCUUUUGGUAUUAAUACUCAUAAAUAACUUUUCAUUGUCUGUUUUCUUCUUCGUUAAUAUUUAGGAAUAUAUAUGUAUGUUAAUGUCAAUCUUUUAUUUCUUUGUAAGUCUGUUAAUCUUCUGUAUCGAAUGAACUCUGUAGAAUCUUCCAUCACAGUUUGCAGAUGAGAUGAAAAGUCUCUUUCCAACAGUCGAUGUCCAGUUGUCUGAAGGAAAGCUUUCCUGAUUUAUUGCCACAUGGAUCUGUCACGCUUUACCUACAUUAAAACAAAAAACAUGUGCAGCAUCAAUACAAUGGCUUACAAUGUUUAUAUUUCA